rnacentral:rRNA from 1 species
GAUGAACGCUGGCGGCGUGCCUAAUACAUGCAAGUCGAGCGAACAGAUGAGGAGCUUGCUCCUCUGACGUUAGCGGCGGACGGGUGAGUAACACGUGGAUAACCUACCUAUAAGACUGGGAUAACUUCGGGAAACCGGAGCUAAUACCGGAUAAUAUAUUGAACCGCAUGGUUCAAUAGUGAAAGACGGUUUUGCUGUCACUUAUAGAUGGAUCCGCGCCGCAUUAGCUAGUUGGUAAGGUAACGGCUUACCAAGGCGACGAUGCGUAGCCGACCUGAGAGGGUGAUCGGCCACACUGGAACUGAGACACGGUCCAGACUCCUACGGGAGGCAGCAGUAGGGAAUCUUCCGCAAUGGGCGAAAGCCUGACGGAGCAACGCCGCGUAAGUGAUGAAGGUCUUCGGAUCGUAAAACUCUGUUAUUAGGGAAGAACAAAUGUGUAAGUAACUAUGCACGUCUUGACGGUACCUAAUCAGAAAGCCACGGCUAACUACGUG